GCCAUCUGGGGGCUUUAGUGGAAAAUGGGCGAACCUUGACUGAACAACAUAUGGGUUUGUGAUCAGACCAGGUCACCGGAAUGUAAUGCGCAUUUUGAAUAUUUUGAAAUAAAUCUUUUGAGGCAAAGAUAAAAUCUAGUCUCGAAAAGGAUUUAUGUCUCCCUGAGUAAAAAGAAUAGUCUUUUAAAGAAGGGUUUAACAAACGCCAGAUAUCGACCAUGCCCGUUUCGGAUGCCCAGUGGCGCAACGCCUCAGAUGCAAGAUGUUGGUCUUUAGUCUCGCUGCCGCCUGUUCUGUCCAUGCUGCUGUCCCACACCGCAUUGAAAUCAGCCCCAAGAACUAAGUGAAAUCCUGUAAGAUCAAGCAAGGAUUUAGUUAAUAGAUGGAAAAAGGUACGAUCAAAUACAUUAGGGGCAUAAGCAGAAAUAAGUGCAAUGUUUUUCCCAUCCAUACAGAUCCUUGCUAUAGCUAUCCGCCCUGCAUCAUCUGCCCAAGAGUCAAUCAUAUCAAAUUUUAGUUUACGUUUACACAAUACCAUUACCCCUUUAGAUUUUGUUGCUGCAGAUGAAGUUGCAAUAGAAUGAUAAAACUUAUUGGCUAAUCGACCCACAUCUUUGCCCAAUAAAUGUGAUUCCUGAAUCAUAGCAAAGUCUAUAUUUUUCUUACGAAAAAAUUCUAGUACAGUGGUUCUUUUGUGCGGAACGUUCAGACCCCUGGCGUUGACUGAAAUAAGGUUAAGAGCUGUCAUAUGCUAGAAGGCUUUGUGAAAAACAAAGAAAGAGGAAAAAAAAAAAAAAAGAAAGAGUUGUCCCAACAACAGCACGAGAGAGAACCGGAUCCAUAAAAGAGAAACACCCAAAAAAAAGAAAAAAAAAAAAAAAAAAAAAAAAAAAAAAAAAAAAAAAAAAAAAAAAAACCGAAGAGGAAGGUGAGGAAGCUGAAACUGUCGAACCUUCCUGAAAAUCCACAACUGGAUAACUAACUCAGAGAACUUUCUGACCACUCAAGUGCGGCAGCAGCGCCACCCAUCAGCAAACAACUGAACAGCAGUAGUGUGAACACAUUAAAGACAUCCGCCAUCUAACAGCGGUGCUAUAUCGUUAACAGACACGAAAUCUACAGACCCCCUACCCAACAUAACCUGCACACAUGACUUAUAACUCGGGCAGACAAAGAAGGAGAGAGAGGGGAAAAAAAAAAAAAAAAAAAAAAAAAAAAAAAAAAAAAAAAAAAAAAAAAAAAAAAAAAAAAUACUUCUUAAAGUUUCAAAAAAAAAAAAAAAAAAAAAAAAAAAAAAAAAAAAAAAAAAAAAAAAAAAAAAAAAAAAUAUAUGUAGGCCUAUAUGUAACAAAUAAAAAUAAAAUAAAAAAUAAAGAA